UACGGAGGGUGCGAGCGUUGUCCGGAAUCACUGGGCUUAAAGCGUGUGUAGGCGGGCGGGCAAGUACCUUGUGAAAUCCCACGGCUCAACCGUGGAACGGCUGGGUAUACUGCCUGUCUUGAGCCAACUAGGGGCGAGCGGAACAGACGGUGGAGCGGUGAAAUGCGUAGAUAUCGUCUGGAACGCCAAAGGUGAACACAGCUCGCUGGGGUUGUGCUGACGCUGAGACACGAAAGCCAGGGGAGCGAACGGG
rnacentral:rRNA from 1 species